GGCCCCUUAGCUCAAUGGAUAGAGCAGCGCUCUUCUAAGGCGUUGAUGUGGGUUCGAUUCCUACAGGGGCCACCA
rnacentral:tRNA from 1 species